AAGGUUUUAGUUUAAUUAAAUCAUCUGAGUUGCAUUCAGGAGAUGUGAGAUAAAGUCUUGCAAACCUUAA
rnacentral:tRNA from 1 species